CCCAGGCAAGCACACAUGAGCCACAAGACCCCCCAAGUGGUGAGUAACUGCAGAGGCAGGGGAAAUCAGUGUUCCAGGACUGAAUUGUACACUGGGCAUAUCACUCUUGGGGAGAGCCAGCACUGUGGGGGGUGGGGCUC